rnacentral:rRNA from 1 species
CCUACGGGGGGCAGCAGUGGGGAAUAUUGGACAAUGGGCGAAAGCCUGAUCCAGCCAUGCCGCGUGUGUGAAGAAGGCCUUCGGGUUGUAAAGCACUUUCAGUGGGGAAGAAAGCCUUGGGGCUAAUACCCUCGAGGAAGGACAUCACCCACAGAAGAAGCACCGGCUAACUCCGUGCCAGCAGCCGCGGUAAUACGGAGGGUGCGAGCGUUAAUCGGAAUUACUGGGCGUAAAGCGCGCGUAGGCGGUCUGAUAAGCCGGUUGUGAAAGCCCCGGGCUCAACCUGGGAACGGCAUCCGGAACUGUCAGGCUAGAGUGCAGGAGAGGAAGGUAGAAUUCCCGGUGUAGCGGUGAAAUGCGUAGAGAUCGGGAGGAAUACCAGUGGCGAAGGCGGCCUUCUGGACUGACACUGACGCUGAGGUGCGAAAGCGUGGGUAGCAAACAGGAUUAGAUAACCCAGUAGUC